ACACUGACGACAUGGUUCUACAAUCAACUUUCGAUGGUAGGAUAGAGGCCUACCAUGGUGGUAACGGGUAACGGGGUGUUAGGGCACGACACCGGAGAGGGAGCCUGAGAAACGGCUACCACAUCCAAGGAUGGCAACAGGCGCGCAAAUUACCCAAUCCCGACACGGGGAGGUAGUGACAAUAAAUAACAAUACGGGGUUCUUUCGGAUCUCGUAAUUGGAAUGAGUACAAUUUAAAUCUCUUAACGAGGAACAAUUGGAGGGCAAGUCUGGUGCCAGCAGCCGCGGUAAUUCCAGCUCCAAUAGCGUAUAUUAAAGUUGUUGCAGUUAAAAAGCUCGUAGUUGAAUUUCGGGGUUAGUAGGUUGGUCAUGCCUCUGGUAUGUACUGGUCUCACUGAUUCCUCCUUCCUGAUGAACCGUAAUGCCAUUAAUUUGGUGUUGCGGGGAAUUUGGACUGUUACUUUGAAAAAAUUAGAGUGUUUAAAGCAAGCUAACGCUUGAAUACAUUAGCAUGGAAUAAUGAAAUAGGACGUUCGAUCCUAUUUUGUUGGUUUCUAGGAUUGACGUAAUGAUUAAUAGGGAUAGUUGGGGGCAUUAGUAUUCAAUUGUCAGAGGUGAAAUUCUUGGAUUUAUUGAAGACUAAUUACUGCGAAAGCAUUUGCCAAGGAUGUUUUCAUUAAUCAAGAACGAAAGUUAGGGGAUCGAAGACGAUCAGAUACCGUCGUAGUCUUAACCAUAAACUAUGCCGACUAGGGAUCGGGCGGUGUUAUUAUUUUGACUCGCUCGGCACCUUACGGGAAACCAAAGUGUUUGGGUUCAGACCAAG
rnacentral:rRNA from 1 species